rnacentral:lncRNA from 1 species
UGUUGCGUGGAAAUGUAUAGUCAUCGCUCGGCAAAGUGGUGUCAUCGUGCUGAGAAGUGGUGUCAUCGAGAAAGAACACUCAAUGCAAUGUGCG